UUUGACUUGGUUAUUUAAUCCUCAGAUGAAAUACCGACAAAAAUCUCUCAAUGUUGGUCAUUCUCCCCUAUAUCAGGCACGCUCAAUUCCCCGUCUCAAGUUACAGAUUCAACUCCAUUUAGCAUCUUGAUAGUUUUUCUCUAUAAAACCCUAGAAUCAAAAACACCGUCUUCGUUUCUCUUAGUCUCCACCACAGCCGCUAAACCCUUCAAUCGUCCCGCCAGGUACACCGUUGUCUAUGUUUUACAAUUUGCUGCCCGGAAAGAAAGAGCAAUGAAGUUGUGACCAUAUACAGAGACUACAUAAAAUCGAAAUGAAAAUAAAAGAUAAUAUCAAAUCCUUUGAAGGUAAUCUCGACCUUUGAGACAACAAAUCCUAGAUCUGUCAAAAAAACCCUUUGAUUUCAUCAGGUGUUUCAUGGAUUCAAAAGACUAAGGAUUCAAAGAGAAGAGCUUCACAUGGAAUCUAGAAGAUUACUCCCCAGCAAAAGCAAACAUAAGCCAAAGGUAAAAUAGGUUUCGGUUUUUGUUUUUUAAUUUGGAAUUUCUUUUUUAAUAUGAAUGAUGCUUGUAAAUGUCCGCAUAUGGUCUUUGUAGUGGUGGUUUGUUCCCACUUAUUCUCUCACCAAGAUGAGGUUUUUGUAGAUUUGCACAACUAUGUUAUGAAAUAGAUACGUAAGACUUGAUGACCUUAUUAGGAAUCUUUCUUAUUGUCAUUAUUGGGUAUGAAAAUUUUAAAAACCUCAAUACCACCAUUUUCUGUAACCUAAAGUCAACUCAACUUUGACUCAUUCCAUAUUUCCAUUUUCGUGACUUAGUUCUGUUUAAUAUGUUCUAUGUUCAAUUGUUCAUGUGUAAAGUUUUCAAUAUCCCCAAAAUGAGAAAUUACUUCAUG